AACGUAAGGGUGGAAUUUUUCAGGUUUCUCGGGUCAAGAGAAGAUUCGUCGGAGAUACCUCUGUAGUAUGCUUAUUUCGUAUUCCCUAUUAUCCUCCAUUUUGCACUGUUCUUCAUUCUUCUGUUUUAUCUUUGGGUGUUGUUUGUUGACUGCAAAUAUGUAUUAGAGAAUUAAUUUUGGAUCCUUUGAUUUAUUUGUUGGUUUUUGAGUUUCAUGUUGCGUUUUGUAAUACUGGUUUCUUUCGUUUCGUUUCAGAAUAAUAUUAUUUGCUUUUAAUGAAAUUGUGUCAUAAGUUGUAAUUUUUUUAUUCUCGUUCUUACAUUUGAUCUCUGCUCUUUUCUAUACCUUCUAUAGGCGUAAGAGAGGAAUUUCAAGGUUUAUCGGGGACAAGAGAAGUUUGAUUGGAAAUAGGUCUUAGGUAAGUUUCCUCCGUAUUCCAUGUUCUCUGAAAUUUCUCGCUUUUCUUUAAUUUUCUCUUGUAUGCUUGGGUGUUAUAUGUCGAAUGUAUGUGUGUAGUAUGAAAAUUAAUUUUCAAUAUAUUGAUUUCUUUGUUUUCUUCUAAUGUUGAUGUUCUGUUGUCUAUUUUAAUUCCAUUGAACGACAUUGUUCAUUGAGAG
rnacentral:lncRNA from 1 species